CGGGCGGGGCCCGGCAGCGCCGCCUCCUCCCGCGCCGCCGGGAAGAGCCGGGCGUGGCCGCGGGGCUCCGCCCGGCCCCGGCCCCGGCCCCGGCCCCGGCGCGGAGCCACCUGGGGUCGGCGGCAGGGAGCCGGGCCGGGCUGCGCAAGAGGAGCCCGAGGCGGGGAGCGCGGAGGAUGGAGCGCGGGGUGACAGAGCGAGGAGCAACGGGCUCAAGUGGCAGCAAGGGGAGCCGGGCUCCGAGAUCAGGAUGAACUUUCCAAUGGGCGGGGAAGCGCCGGGCCAGGCUGCCCGCAGAGGUGGGGGUGACUCCAUCCCUGGAGGCUUUGAAGACCCGGCCAGACAAAGCUUUGACUGGGAUGAGGUCCUUGGGGCUGCUUCUGCUUGGAACCGGGGGUUGGACUCGCUGUGACCUCCCCUCCAGCCCUAUGACUGUCCUGUCCCCAGGCCUCCUUCGGCUGGGUGGAGGGCAGCUGUGCCCUUACACCUCCGCCCCCAGCCCUGGUUUCUCUUCCAGUCCCCUGAAGAAGAAACCACCUGAUGCGCACUUGGUGGCCCCGGCUCGCAGGGGCUUUCAGCCCUCACUCCCCAUGCACAUCACGUAGGCCUGCACCACUGGGGUCUUGGGGAGUUCAUUCCAGGAGAGAAAACGGCCCCCGUUUUUUCUGUCCUCCACCAAGCAAGUGGAAGCUCACAGCCUGCAUUUUUGAAGGGGUGCCUUGAGUCCAAGGAGCAAGCCUGGGGUCUCCAAAAGUUGAGGAUCCCAGCCUCUACAUUUGGGGCUCAUUCCUGUUUUUGAUUACUCUCUUCAGAGCAGAACCAAACUGUCCCUUAGAAGAAGCUCUGGAGAAGGGGCAGGCGCGAAAGCCCAGCUCCACAAGAGGCGGCCACAUAGGUUUCCUUGAAGAACAUGACAAAGGGACACCAGUGGCUCAUUCUGCCAAGCUCCUGCCCACCUGAAUAUCUGAAGAACAGUAACGCACAUUCACUGUGUUUAAGAGCUCAGUGGCAGGUGGCUGUGCUAUCUACCAGAUUUGUAGAGUCUGAAUCCAAACUGGACCAUUAUGAGCAUCUACCCUGACUGUCUUCGUGACACCAGGCAGAGAAUGUCACCUAGUGUCUCCUGCACCAGGUCUGUCAUCGCUGGAUGAACUAAAAUAUAUCCUCUAGAAAGAUAUCUGGCCAUGACUUGGACUCAUUAUCUGCACCGUUAAAAAAAAAUUCUUGUCUGAAUUGGUUUAUGUUGACUUUCAGGCACUGGAUCCAGUUAUACCCUAAUGUACUGGCUUAAAAGAGGCCUCUUUAACAGCUGGGCGAUUGCCAUACUGAGGACUAAGAGAAAAAAAAAGUGUAAUUCUUACGUCAUCUGCUUUUUCUUAAAGAAAAAUAUUCAAGGAUGGCCUCACUGAGGUCUAGAAGUGUGUUCAUUCUCUGUAGGUUUUCAGGCUUGAUCCAAAGCCCGUGGGAGCAAAUGGAAAGAUUUCCUUAGACUUGGACAGGCUUGCGAUCUGGCCUUAUGUGCCGAUUAAGAAGUUUCUUCCAGCAAAGGUUCACUGGAUGGCAGAAAGAAGAAUGCCUUCACAGAGCUACCAUGCAUGAUGCAUUCAGUGGUCCCUCCUUUCUCACGCAGCCCAUGUCCUGUCAUCAAACCAGAGGGAGAAUUCUGCCUUGUUUGGAUGUCUUGAAUGAGCUAUUGAAGUGAAGGGUUCUUCCUUAGCUGAAUUCGGGAAAGACUCAGAUGAGCUUUCACCGAGAGAAUUCAUAAAAGGGCACUAUCAUAACUUCCUUCACAACGAAGGGCAGUGAGAAGCUAUCCAUAAUUUGGACGGACUAACAGAUGAGAGAUUCAUCCUUUAUUUCAGCAAGUGAAACCAUUUCCAUGAGAAAGCUGCAGAGGAGGUUCUUGGAGUAAUUAACGUUCAGCCUGUUGUAAUAUUAGGCUACGGGCUACACCUCAGUAUGCUUUGGUAAAUGGAUGUAUCCGUCAUAUGAAAGUCAUCACUUUCCCUACAAUUUCUCCCUGUCCCCAGACAACCUGUAUUUUUUUGGCCUUCUUGGAGUCAGGUGUAACUGACACAGUUUCUUAAAGACAAUUUCUCUUA